rnacentral:rRNA from 1 species
UACGGGGGAUCCAAGCGUUAUCCGGAAUUACUGGGCGUAAAGAGUUGCGUAGGCGGCAUAGUAAGCAAAUAGUGAAAGCGUGGGGCUCAACCUCAUAUACAUUAUUUGAACUGCUAAGCUAGAGGAUGAGAGAGGUAGCUGGAAUUCCCUGUGUAGGAGUGAAAUCCGUAGAUAUAGGGAGGAACACCGAUGGCGUAGGCAGGCUACUGGCUCAUUUCUGACGCUCAGGCACGAAAGCGUGGGGAGCGACCGGG